UCUUCGGGUGCUGUAACUUCUGCUUCAAAGAAGAAAAAAGAAUGGAUUCAUCAAGACUACCGUAUUUGAAAACAUCCUACCUUCCAGUCUAAACGCUCCUACUUAUAGAAUGAGCAUCUGAUUUGCACAGGCCUGGGGCACUUCCUCUCUGCACCUCACCUCCUCCAGCUGCAGUUUUGUGGGCUGCAGGCUGCAUCCAGUGACCCGCAGGCCACCACCUUCUCUCAGUCCCCCUUUUCCAUUAUCUAUUGUAUCAGGGAACUCAAUGGCGCUUUGUAUUUAAUUGUCUUAGUUAAUGAAUCCUCUCAUAUUUACCAAAUAAAUCCUCAAUAUCUUA